UUAAACCUCAUAAUGUGUGCCUGUGAUCCCCAGCUUUUCUUCUUUAUGAGAGUGUUAACGUUCUUCUUCCUUUUUUUUUUUUUCUAUUGAAAUCUGUGGGAGAGUAAGUGCAGGAUCUGGUCCCUAAAGCUGCUCCAUCACGUUGCCAAGUAACCAGAGGAGUAAUAUAGUUUGUUUUCCAUGGAGGGCAGGAAGAAUCAAAGUGCUUGUGUGAAGGAUCACAGAGCCUAAGGAAAUGUGUGAUCAGUGAGGAGACUGAAACCAGCAUGAUCCUGCCACUUAGAGACAUUCUGUACCCUAAGUUAGGUAUUAACAACACAAACAAGACUAAAAUCAAAAACAAAGCCAAAGAAGCCCUGCAGUGUUCCUGGUAUUAGCAAAUGGAAAUGAGGAGUUCUCUGUCUCACUGAAGUUACAGAACUAAACCCAGACAGACUCACACUGCUUCAGAUACAGAGAGUUCCACGGCUGUUGGGAGCAUCAUUAUUUUUUGUAAAUCUCAAGAUUUUCCACUACAGAGUAUAAACAUCACUACUGACAGGGCACAAAAAGAACAGUAGCUCACUACAGUUCUCAUGUGAUAACUGAAUGUGAACUAAUAGCGAGCUGACAAUACACUUUCAUGCUUUAUGAAAAGGAGUAUAUGAGGGAGCUGACAAGAGUAAGGAGACCUGGAAAUGUUCCCUGGUCACUUCAGCCUUGUCACUGUCACUUCUUCAGACAGCAAGCAUCUGUGGGGAAGAGCGAGCUGGAGGAACCUGCUCUAGGGAAUCUGCACCAUGUCUGCAUACAGGCUGGGCAAGACUUGCAAGCCACAAGUAGACCAUUUGUCUUUGGUCCCAAAAGAUCAUGAAUGCCUGAAAUGGUGCUGCAGACACUAAGAAUGCAAGAAGGAACUUUCAAAUCAAGAAUUUCAGGAGGAAAGAUAAAAGGUUUUGGACUUUUCAUUGAAGGUACAGUUCAUUCAUGCUUUCCAUUGCUUUCUAUAUUCCUUGCUCUUUACUGUAGGAUACUUUCCCACUUGACAGUAAAAAAAAGAAGAGACAGUUCACAUCUCUUGCGACAUCCAACCAGAAAAAAAAAAAAUGCAGCUAGUUUAGAUGAGUAUUUAAUGGAAAUGUAAAGUUAUAGAUACAGAGGUCAACCUCUUGUUUUACAGUUGUGCUGUCUGUAAAACAUUGGAUUCCUAGUCCACCAUCAAUUACGGGUAUUACCACAGUAACAGUAUACAGUCAGGGUGUAUUUUUCCCUAUGUAUAAUAAAUUAACAUGGUUCAUGUAAAUUCCUGAAUUGGUACUUAUGUCCUUUUGUUAUCACCUCUGAUACUGGUUACAUGGAAUCAGGGAAGUCAUUUUUCUCUGCCUUGGUUUUGCUUUGUUUCUAAUAUUCCCUUCAGCUGGAAAAUGAUUUUAGUUCUCUAUUACAAAAAUGUGAUAUAAAUCUAGUCCUGAGAAUCUUAAAAUCUGUAGGAAACAGCUGAAUAAAUGGAGUUUAUUAAAUGUGACUUCCUACAGUCUUAGUGAGGACUUCUCUAACAAUUAAAGCCAGAAUUCUCAAAUGGCAGAAGCUUUUUUUGUCUGUCCAUUCUCAGAAGUGAUUCAACCUCUUAGCUUAGCCCAGAACGUGUGCAGAAAUGCAUCUCCCACAUUAUUCAGAUGGUGUUAAUUGAGGGCUUUCUGCUUUCCUAACAAAAGAGGUGAUAAAUGUCUCUCCCUUUUCGUUUAAAAUCUUCACCUCCUACAGUAGUUUCAGUGUGUUUGAGUGGAUAUAAUAAGUAGACUGCAGAAAUUAAUUAAUUAUAUGUGUUAACUUCUCACUUUUUGCCUUUGUUGAAUCUUCUCUUUUUUCCCUCGGCCUUGACUUUUGCAAAAUUAAAGUUGUCUCCCAGGGUGUAUAGCUUUUAAUUUGAGUCUAUACUGUAUUUAGCUGCUGCAGCGCGUCAAGCAUGUGGAACAUUUUAACAAGGAGUUUUUAAUGAAUCCCUGGGAAGAAAGUGCCCUCGAAAACAAUACUUCAGUACGUAAGCACUUAUAUACUCUGCAACAAUAAAAACAGAACACAUGGAAAAGAUUUUCCUGCCUCUCUGUGUUUUAAACAAACUUUAGCCACAAUCAAGGUCAUAGCCAUUCACUGAGAGGUACUUUUGAUUAAAGGUUUUUUUCUCCAAGGUUGCAAGUAAAUUAUUUCAGCCCGUUUGAUGAUUUGCUAGAAAGGUGUGUUAAAUUGCUGGUAAUUUGAAUUGUGUAUUCAAUUGUGUCUACACAUUCCUUGCAUGUUUCCAUAAAUGCCGGCAUCACUUCUGUAUUACUCUUGGCUUCUUGCACUUGUGUCAGAAGGAAAUGAGUGAUUUUAACACAGCCAUGAAGUUCAAUACAAAGUGGAGAGGGGCAGAAUUUCCCUCAGGUCUUAAUCCCAGUGAAGGUUCAGGGCACUGAGCAGUUAUAAUCAGUCACUUGUCUUUCUGAAUUACUCUAUCCAAAGACACAGGCAGCUCUAUAAUGUCUUCUUAUUUUUCUGUACCAUCAAAUGAAUUUGACAUGAGAAGAAAAGAAAAUGGACAACAAGGAAAAUCAGGACACAGGAUUAAGACAGAGAGUUUUGACGUGUUGACCUUAGUUCUGAUUUUAUGCAGUCAAAUGUUUGAUGUUUAUAGUUUUUUGACCGUCUCUGCAACCUUUGCUGAAGCACUGUAAGAAUUAGAUGACUUGAUGUUUCUGAAGCUGUUUUCUUCUGAGGAAAAAAAGGAAACCAACUGAAAAAAAAAAAAAACAAAAAAAAAAAACCCACAACAUUGGACUGUGGUGUUCUGAAGACUGCACGUGAGUUCCUGCUGUUAAACCAAAUAUUUCUCCUCCUAAACGUAUUGAGCUGCAGUAUCUCCAGAAGUAUUGGCUCAACCGCCCUUACCCUGGGUGAUGCACCAUCUCCCUCUCGUGGUGUCUUGAUCAGAGAGCAGUUAAGGAAAAUUCUACUAUAACUUCAGAUAACAGACUUCAAGCUUUCAAGGCUAAAGAGUGAAGAUUCACAAUUGCAGGCACAGUGGUCAAAGUCUGAGAUAAU
ensembl:lncRNA